UACGGAGGAGGCAAGCGUUAAUCGGAAUUACUGGGCGUAAAGCGUGCGCAGGCGGUUAUGUAAGACAGGGGUGAAAUCCCCGGGCUUAACCUGGGAACUGCAUUUGUGACUGCAUAGCUAGAGUACGGCAGAGGGGGAUGGAAUUCCGCGUGUAGCAGUGAAAUGCGUAGAUAUGCGGAGGAACACCGAUGGCGAAGGCAAUCCCCUGGGCCUGUACUGACGCUCAUGCACGAAAGCGUGGGGAGCAAACAGG
rnacentral:rRNA from 1 species